GACCGUGACAAGGGCAAGUGAUAAGUACUGAUACAGACCACCCCUUGUCAGAGUAGCAGCCCACGUCCACAAGUGGAUGAGUUAGUGGUUUCCCCCCAUUUUUCAUCCUCAGCAUGGAAAUCCUUCCUCCCAAACCAUGGCAGUGCCAGGGCUUACCCUUAGAAAUGCUAACCACCUAACACCCCCCUCCCCCAGCUCUUUGACCUCACCCUAUCAGCUGUUUCCAAUCUCCAAAUAUAUUUGUAGGCUGAUCUUCAGGUUCCUGAUGCUUCUGUUUUUCUAGCUGAACUAUUCCAGAGUUGAUGCAUUCCACUGCCCGUCCUUGGAUAAUUGGUUUUUCCAUUCACUGGAAAGUAAGAAAAGCACAAACAACAGGUGCUAACUAAAAUCUUUUCUUAGAAUUGUGAUUCAGGAGAACUGGGGAGCUCAGUGCCUGAUAAAUGAAACUAGGUUUCUGGAGUGGACAGAGGAAAAGCACCUUAUGGUGUUUCUGGUUCUAUUUCUCCAAGGCUUUGAAGGUUAUAAUUAGUUGCUGCUGAAUCCCUGUGGCCGUGGCGCCUCACCACUUUAUUUCUGGUCUGCGGCCUUCAGGCAGAGAACAGGUUCUAUCCAGGCAAGGCCUGUGUGUUUUAAUUCGGGCACUUCUGGAGACCGUUGGGACUUUGACUUGAAGACCAUGUUUAUGCAAGUCUGGGGAACAGCGUUCGCCAAGCUGCCCUGGGCGAGGGCUGAUGGUGGCCUGGUGGCGAGAACACCGUGAACCGUCCAGGGUGCCUCCCCCUCUCCAGGCCAUGCUGGAAAUUUCCGUUUUCUUCUUCUGUCAGCGUCUUCAGGACAAAUGUGUACACAAAGGCAAAAUGGCUUUCAAAGGAGGCUCCGUCCUCCUCUCGGGGCUUGGUGCAGACAUCAAAUUGAAGGCCGUUCAGCUGUACCUGAUGCUGGUUCUCAGCAGCCUGGAGAUUAACCUCUUCUAAGGCUCUGAGCUAUUUUUGAGGUAGAGACUGCAACAACAUUAAAGCUAGAACCCAUUAGGAAAUCACUUUCAUCAUCUCUUCUUUUUCCAAAUCAGUGGGUUUUUUUUCCCCCCCUGAUCUCAUGACCCUUUAAUCUCCUUUGUAGCAGAACAAGGAGACUGUUGGUUUGUGUUUGCAUCCAGUGAAGUUAGAAUCUUUGAUAACAGCUUCCGAAGACACCAAGAUAUUAGAGAACCGCAUAGCGAGAUGAAUUUCAUGUCUGGUUGGAUGACUUAGUGCUGAAGGUGCCCUGCUUUCCUUGUGCAGAACCAUCAUUUUUGUUGAUGUUGUGCAAACCGGGCUCAAAAUUUCCAAGAGACACACAGCAGAAAGCCUUUUGUUGCGUUAUUUCUAAAGGCUUGAAGUUUUGAAGGGAAGAGAUUUUGUUUUCCUCUCGGGCUACACAAUGGAGCUUUCAGAGAACCUCUUUUAAAAGGAAUAGCUACAGCCUUUGUGUUGAAGGGUGUGUCUGUUGGCAGGGUCUGCUGAUGCAGACAGACUGGCUGGUGAUUAACAAAGGUCAUUAGACUUUGGAAUCUGGCAAGCAGAGUCGGAUGGUAUGUCUUCUGUGUGUGGAAGGACGACUCCCAAGAAGCCAAGGCAUUCUGGAGGUCCCCCCACAGCCCACCCCCAAAUCCUGCUGUAGAACAGGGUCUGGUCCAGGAUCGUCCUGCCAUCACCAGUCAGCUCUGCUGGGACUAACGAACAAGCUUAUCAAUCAUGGGAUAAAAGAACCUUCGGAGAUCUUGGUGAAUGACAUUUGAGGAGGAGAAAGGUGCUGCUUUUCGGAAAGCAGUACAAACAGUUCAUUCUUUGUUGGGAGCAGAAGAGCAUAGGAGGAGCCCAGCCUGUUCUUCUACUGCUCAUUUCUGAUUGUCAGCCUAGCAGAAUCCCAGAGAAGCCAUGUUGUGCACGGAAGAGAAGCUCCGAGCUAAAAUGGCCGCUCCUGAAGCUCAGAGGA
ensembl:lncRNA